GCUAGCGUAGCUUAAUACAAAGCAUAACACUGAAAAUGUUAAAAUGGGCCCUGAGAAGCUCCGCAUGCA
rnacentral:tRNA from 1 species